CAAUAGCGUAUAUUAAAGUUGUUGCAGUUAAAAAGCUCGUAGUUGGAUUUCGGGGCAGCCUGGCUGGUCCGCCGCAAGGCGAGUACUGGUCAGCCGCCCUUCCUCUCGAAAGCCCCGACUGCUCUUCGUUGCAGUGGUCGGGUAGUCCGGGACGUUUACUUUGAAAAAAUUAGAGUGUUCAAGGCAGGCCUACGCCUGAAUACAUUAGCAUGGAAUAAUGGAAGAGGACCUCGGUCCUAUUUUGUUGGUUUCCAGGGCCGAAGUAAUGAUUAAGAGGGACAGUUGGGGGCAUUCGUAUUUAAUUGUCAGAGGUGAAAUUCUCGGAUUUAUGAAAGACGAACAACUGCGAAAGCAUUUGCCAAGGAUGUUUUCAUUAA
rnacentral:rRNA from 1 species